rnacentral:misc_RNA from 1 species
CCGAGUGAGGGUGCGGUCGUCUUCGGACGACGGCCCGAACCUCCCAACCCUGUGUCUACCGUACCUUGUCGUUGCUUCGGCGGACCGGUCUCACGACCGCCGGGCGUUCCACCGCCUGGAGAGCGUCCGCCGAUGGCCCAACUACACAACUCUUGUACCGAAAUAUGUCGUCUGAAUCAGUGAUUAUUUAAUCAAAAACA